GGCUCACCAGCCUAUUCCAGCUGUCGUCCCCGAUGCCUAAGACUUACCUACUAACUUGAUCUGGCACAUAAAGUCACUUCUCCUUGCCACACCACAGGCUUCAGGGCUUGGCUGAGAAAACCCACAACCAAAGGUCAGAAAGCUCAUGGCUCCCCAGGCUGCCUGGAGUUCUGGUCUCCAUCCUUUUCUGCCUGCCCCCAACACUCAACUCUGACUGAGCCCCUACUAUGUGCUGCCACCGUGGAGAAACACAUGAAUGAGACACUGGCCUCUCAGUCUCUGGGAGGUUAGGUGAAUUGCAUAAAUAAACCACUGAGAACAGAGCCCUCCUCACCACAAACAGCACACGGGCUUCUGCUGGGCUUCUGCUCCGCCUCUGAGGCUUUGGACCAGCUCCUGGGAGGGGCUCCUGCCCGGUGACAGGAGCCGCAUGGAAAAAGACUGAUUUGUUCUGAAAUGUUCUGGUUUCCUGAGAAGAACCCAGGGUUCCAGCCGGCACAGAUACACGUGUACACACACGCAUGACGCACAGAUCGGUCCACACGCUCCGGCUACAUCGGUUCACGGAUUGAGCUAUAAUGCCCCGCGACAGGGAUAUCAUUGCAUGCACUGCUGGGGCCCCUGCAACGUUGUGCUUGGAAUAAAGUUAAUGUUCGAUAAA